rnacentral:lncRNA from 1 species
UCAUGUAGCGGCGAAUUAAAGUUGAGAUGCGUAAAUGUAGUAAUAUCCACCAUGUUCUUUUUCUUUUUGUUUUUACCAAAGACCAAUAAUGGCACAUUAAACUGAAUAUUAGUUGAAGGGUAAAUAAAUGUUAGAGAAAACAAUCCCUAAAUCAACCUACUUCUCUAUUUCUUAAUAUAUGUACAUUUCAGGUUGUCCUAAGUACGUCA